AUGCUUCGAUCCAUAUUUGUGCCUUUAAAGCUUUUAUUCUUGCAUUUACUGCCACGCAUAACACCGCAUUGGCCGCAUGCCUUCAUAACUGUGUAGUCGCCAACCAUGAUCGCGUCAAUAGUGGCCACGGUUUCGUCUACAGUGCUUGCGGCUAACAGUAGAUUCGUAUAGUUUCGUUUUGA
rnacentral:lncRNA from 1 species